UGGGGAAUUUUGGACGAAUUGGGCGAAAGCCUGAUCCAGCAAUGCCGCGUGUGUGAAGAAGGCCUUCGGGUUGUAAAGCACUUUUGUCCGGAAAGAAAUCCUUGGCUCUAAUACAGUCGGGGGAUGACGGUACCGGAAGAAUAAGCACCGGCUAACUACGUGCCAGCAGCCGCGGUAAUACGUAGGGUGCAAGCGUUAAUCGGAAUUACUGGGCGUAAAGCGUGCGCAGGCGGUUUGCUAAGACCGAUGUGAAAUCCCCGGGCUCAACCUGGGAACUGCAUUGGUGACUGGCAGGCUAGAGUAUGGCAGAGGGGGGUAGAAUUCCACGUGUAGCAGUGAAAUGCGUAGAGAUGUGGAGGAAUACCGAUGGCGAAGGCAGCCCCCUGGGCAAGUACUGACGCUCAUGCACGAAA
rnacentral:rRNA from 1 species